CAGAGAGGAGUCACAUCCCAUCGGAGCCCUAUGAGCCCAUCUCCCCACCCCAAGGUCCUGCUGUGCAUGAGAAGCAGGACAGCAUGCUGCUCUUGUCACAAAGGGGAAUGGAUCCUGCCGAGCAAAGGAGUGAUUCUCGAUCACCAGGAAGUAUAAGCUACUUGCCUUCAUUCUUCACCAAGCUUGAAAGCACAUCACCCAUGGUUAAAUCAAAGAAGCAGGAAAUUUUUCGUAAGUUGAACUCCUCUGGUGGAGGUGACUCUGAUAUGGGUAAGUGGGAUUUCUUUCAUGAACCCCAAAUAAAACAUGCCUUAACAA
rnacentral:lncRNA from 1 species